ACAAAUUGUAGAGGUGCAAAUCCGAUAAGUAUUUCUUCUGAGUGGAAAGCGAUGAAGGGGAAGGAAAGGCGUAUUUGCCGAAAUCAAUUAAGCGUCAUCUUAGUUGGUUGGGGUCGUUGCCGAAAGGGACGACACUGUCGUAAUUCAAUAUUACGGAGUGCUACUAUUAGG
rnacentral:ncRNA from 20 species